rnacentral:tmRNA from 1 species
GGGGGUGUACCGGAUUCGACUGGAUAGAAAAGGGAAAGUAUAAGCAUACCGUAGGAUUCGACUACGAAAAAACGAUAGACUUAAAUUUAAAUGCAAAUAACAACAAUUUUGCUCUCGCUGCCUAAUUAACGCGGCGAUGUCGUAUUACGGAGACCUAUCGGCUGUAAAUGCGGCAUAAUCUGAGGAUAGGAAACGUCGGUAGCGUUUUAAUUGCGGCGCGAUUGAUGAAUUAAGCAAGAUACGGUUAAGGUAGCCGGUAUUCAGACAGCCUUAGCAAGAGAUUAAGAGUAAUACUAAGUAUGUAGAAGGCUUUUCGGUUUUUAUGCAAGACAGGAGUUCAACUCUCCUCACCUCCACCA